GAUGAAGAACGUAGCGAAAUGCGAUAAGUAAUGUGAAUUGCAGAAUUCAGUGAAUCAUCGAAUCUUUGAACGCACAUUGCGCCCCUUGGUAUUCCGAGGGGCAUGCCUGUUCGAGCGUCAUUAUAACCCCUCAAGCUCAGCUUGGUGUUGGGGCCUGCCGCACGGGCAGCCCUUAAAAUUAGUGGCGGUGCCAUCUGGCUCUAAGCGUAGUAAUUCUUCUCGCUAUAGAGUCCCGGUGGAUGCUUGCCAUUAACCCCCAAUUUUCUAUGGUUGACCUCGGAUCAGGUAGGGAUACCCGCUGAACUUAAGCAUAUCAAUAAGCGGAGGA
rnacentral:misc_RNA from 1 species